rnacentral:rRNA from 1 species
CUUGAAAAAGGGAGUUCAAGAAGAGCUUCGAAGAAGCUUUCUUGAUGGAGGGGAGUGGCAGACGGGUGAGUAACGCGUGGGAACAUACCCUUAUCUUCGGAACAACUCCGGGAAACUGGAGCUAAUACCGAAUGUGCCCUUAGGGGGAAAGAUUUAUCGGAUAAGGAUUGGCCCGCGUUGGAUUAGCUAGUUGGUGGGGUAAAGGCCUACCAAGGCGACGAUCCAUAGCUGGUCUGAGAGGAUGAUCAGCCACAUUGGGACUGAGACACGGCCCAAACUCCUACGGGAGGCAGCAGUGGGGAAUAUUGGACAAUGGGCGCAAGCCUGAUCCAGCCAUGCCGCGUGAGUGAUGAAGGCCUUAGGGUUGUAAAGCUCUUUCACCGGAGAAGAUAAUGACGGUAUCCGGAGAAGAAGCCCUGGCUAACUACGUGCCAGCAGCCGCCGUAAUAC